rnacentral:rRNA from 1 species
UGCCAGCAGCCGCGGUAAUACGAAGGUCCCAAGCGUUGUUCGGAAUAACUGGGCGUAAAGCGCGCGUAGGCGGAUUAGACAGUUGAGGGUGAAAUCCCGGAGCUUAACUCCGGAACUGCCUUCAAUACUACUAAUCUUGAGUUCGGAAGAGGUGAGUGGAAUUCCUAGUGUAGAGGUGAAAUUCGUAGAUAUUAGGAAGAACAUCAGUGGCGAAGGCGACUCACUGGUCCGAUACUGACGCUGAGGUGCGAAAGCGUUGGGAGCAAACAGGAUUAGAUA